rnacentral:sRNA from 1 species
UCAUAUUUAUUGUUGUUGUUGCCAUGGU